UUAUAUUGUAAUAAAAAGUUUGGAAAAGUAUCCUUUUUUAUUUAUACAUCAUAUUCGUUCUGUCGGAGGUAAGCAUGAAUUUAUUCAGUAUCCACAUCACCAUCAAGUUGUUAUUUUCAACCAAACAUGCCAUCCCUAAAGCCAGUGCUCAGAGCUAGAGUGGGUAAUGAGGCUUUUCUUACAGAAAAUCAUCGCAGCAACAUUACCUGGUGUUUGGUGAUUUUACUUAUAUGUGUCCUGUACCAGUGUUCACACUUGUGAUUCUGAGGUCAGUGUUGUCUACCUGAGUGGUAUGGUUAUCUGAAUUCCAUAGGAACUUUGCACCAGUUAGAACUUAGUGGAUUCUUUGCUGCUUUUUUUGGCGCUGGAAGGGUGGACAUACCGUGUGGAUGUUAGUAAUCAGUACCAGAAAUUACCAUAGGACUUUUAUCCUGACUGCCCACCAUAUCAAUGGAGUGCUUUUUGUCUGGGUUAAUAGUACUGGUUUUGAUACAUAAUCACUUGUUAUAUUUGUUUAAAAUUUUCCACUUUCUUAGUAAUAGUCAGCUUCAGUCGGUGCUUAGGAAUAAACAUGUUGAAGUUUUUGCAGUAUGUAGGGCAGAGGUCAGUGAAUGUAUUUGCUUGGCUUCGAAUGUAAGAUUGAAUCAAUUUUAUAGUGAAUCAAAUUGGAAGAGAUUGGUAAAAGGCGUUUUAGUAAUAUUGGAACUUUCGGGGGAGCCCAGGACUAUGAGAAGAAUUUCUUCACAUUUUCAGUAUCUGUAAGGUACCAAAGGACUGCGACGAAUUGAUCCUUUAACGGAGAUGCUUUGAAACCAGAUCCAUAACUGAGUCUAUCAAGAUACAGCAGCUAAAGUCGGGGAAUAACCUCAGGCAAAAACUGCACAUCUUUAAGAUUUCUGGCAUUCUUUUAAGUAUUUGGUCAUCAUAGCUGCCCCGUACAGUAGUCUCUGACCUCUGAAUCACUCAUCACCCUUGGGCCCCUGUUGCCUUACUUAAAAUAUUGUACCUUGUUCAGCCUACCUCACAGGGCUGUUGUGAGGAGUGUAGUGAAAUGGACUCCUAUGUGAACUGGGUGGUUUUCACUAAGAAUGGCUGUGUUUGAAUACUUAUAAAUGCUGUGUAGUUUGAAAAAGCAUGUUCUUAAGUUGGUAUAACUGGUGAUUUUAUUUUUUUAAAGUAAGACCUUCAAAAUGUCCUUUAGAAUCAGUUUACUUUGCGCAUGACUGUUUCUAUAUUCCUCAUCAACUGCACUUUUACGAGUUGUAAGGUCUACUGCAGUGUUCAUGUGUAGAGGGGAAACCUAGAGUAAGCGAAUGGCUUCAGCUCCUUUUCCACCAGGAGUUUGCACUUGCAAACUGGUACCCCAUGCAGAGUGAAUUUGGCUGAAAUAACUUUUCCAACAACCAAGUAGUUCAACAAUUUAUUGCCUUUGACAAAUAUUCAUCAACUUUAUUGAAUUGUACCUUUUAUUAAAAAAGAAACAUUUCGAAACCUUGUUCUGCAUCAGCCUGUAUCAGUUAUCAUCUGUCUGCACAUAGUGGUGUUGCUCCAGAUGGAUGUAUUAAAUGGUUUGCAAGUUAUCCUACUCCGCAGGACUUUGGUAUGUUUGUUAUCUGGACAUGACUUUGCUACACAGUUGUGAUAAUAAAAAUUACAGCUCCUCAGGUCUAACCUCUAAGUUGUGUAUGAAAACUAUUAAUAAGCGACACGUGGUAUAUUCAGUGCUGCAAGAGUUUGAAAUGAGCACACUGCCUCAUUUCCUUACAAACAAGACAAAGCCUUCUAAAUGAUUUUUUUAACUUUAAAAAUGGUUAUUCAAAGUGUAGUGACUUGUAUGUUGAAAUGAUUGUAUGUUCUGUAUAAAAUGUCCCACUGAGGUUUUUACAAAAGCACCUGUAUUAUCCCUUCUAAAAAUUAAACCCUUUUUUUGCUUUC
rnacentral:lncRNA from 1 species